rnacentral:rRNA from 1 species
CGAGUCCUACGGGGGGCAGCAGUGGGGAAUAUUGCACAAUGGGCGAAAGCCUGAUGCAGCAACGCCGCGUGAAGGAAGAAGGGUUUCGGCUCGGAAACUUCUAUCAACAGGGACGAAAGAAAUGACGGUACCUGAAUAAGAAGCCCCGGCUAACUACGUGCCAGCAGCCGCGGUAAUACGUAGGGGGCAAGCGUUAUCCGGAAUUACUGGGUGUAAAGGGGGAGUAGGGGGCAAGGUAAGCCAGAAGUGAAAGCCAUGGGCUUA